rnacentral:piRNA from 1 species
CCCCAGGUGUGUUCUGAGGACCCUUCCCUC